rnacentral:tRNA from 1 species
GUCCUUCUAGUAUUAAUUAGUACAAGUGACUUCCAAUCACUAAAUCUCAACUGAGCCUUGAGGAAGGAUA